UUGACACUAAGGGCGGAGUGACAUAAUUUCAGGAGUGAGGGUUAGGGAGAGGUUUCCCCCUCCCCUUGGUGUUCUUAGUAAGCCUGGAAGCUAAUCACUAAGAGUAUCACCAGUAUGAUGACGUGCUUCAUCAUAACCCUUUCCUUAUU
rnacentral:sRNA from 1 species